rnacentral:rRNA from 1 species
UACGUAGGCAGCAAGCGUUGUUCGGAGUUACUGGGCGUAAAGGGUGCGUAGGCGGUUGUUUAAGUUUGGUGUGAAAUCUCCCGGCUCAACCGGGAGGUGCGCCGAAUACUGAACGGCUAGAGUGCGGGAGAGGAGAGUGGAAUUCCUGGUGUAGCGGUGAAAUGCGUAGAUAUCAGGAGGAACACCGGUGGUGUAGACGGCUCUCUGGACCGUAACUGGACGCUGAGAAGCGAAAAGCAUGGGGAGCGAACAGG